rnacentral:misc_RNA from 1 species
UACGGAGGGUGCAAGCGUUAAUCGGAAUUACUGGGCGUAAAGCGCGCGUAGGCGGUCUGGUCAGUUGGGUGUGAAAGCCCCGGGCUUAACCUGGGAACUGCAUCCAAUACUGCCAGGCUAGAGUACGAGAGAGGGGGGUAGAAUUCCAAGUGUAGCGGUGAAAUGCGUAGAUAUUUGGAGGAAUACCAGUGGCGAAGGCGGCCCCCUGGCUUGAUACUGACGCUGAGGCGCGAAGGCGUGGGGAGCAAACAGG